rnacentral:rRNA from 1 species
UACAGAGGUCUCAAGCGUUGUUCGGAUUCAUUGGGCGUAAAGGGUGCGUAGGUGGCUUGGUAAGUUGAAGGUGAAAUCUCGGAGCUCAACUCCGAAACUGCCUUCAAUAUUGCCGGGCUCGAGGACUGUAGAGGAGAAUGGAAUUCACGGUGUAGCAGUGAAAUGCGUAGAUAUCGUGAGGAAGACCAGUGGCGAAGGCGGCUCACUGGUCCGGUACUGACGCUGAGGUGCGAAAGCGUGGGGAGCAAACAGG